rnacentral:rRNA from 1 species
GAUGAACGCUGGCGGCGUGCCUAAUACAUGCAAGUCGAGCGAACAGACGAGGAGCUUGCUCCUCUGACGUUAGCGGCGGACGGGUGAGUAACACGUGGAUAACCUACCUAUAAGACUGGGAUAACUUCGGGAAACCGGAGCUAAUACCGGAUAAUAUAUUGAACCGCAUGGUUCAAUAGUGAAAGACGGUUUUGCUGUCACUUAUAGAUGGAUCCGCGCCGCAUUAGCUAGUUGGUAAGGUAACGGCUUACCAAGGCAACGAUGCGUAGCCGACCUGAGAGGGUGAUCGGCCACACUGGAACUGAGACACGGUCCAGACUCCUUCGGGAGGCAGCAGUAGGGAAUCUUCCGCAAAGGGCGAAAGCCUGACGGAGCAACGCCGCGUGAGUGAUGAAGGUCUUCGGAUCGUAAAACUCUGUUAUUAGGGAAGAACAAAUGUGUAAGUAACUAUGCACGUCUUGACGGUACCUAAUCAGAAAGCCACGGCUAACUACGUG